GAUGAACGCUAGCGGCAGGCCUAACACAUGCAAGUCGAGGGGCAGCGGGAAUGAAGCUUGCUUCAUUUGCCGGCGACCGGCGCACGGGUGCGUAACGCGUAUGUAACCUACCUUAAACAGGGGCAUAACACUGAGAAAUUGGUACUAAUUCCCCAUAACACUUUUGAAGGCAUCUUUGGAAGUUGAAAGUUCCGGCGGUUUAAGAUGGACAUGCGUUGUAUUAGUUAGUUGGUGAGGUAACGGCUCACCAAGACGACGAUACAUAGGGGGACUGAGAGGUUAACCCCCCACAUUGGUACUGAGACACGGACCAA
rnacentral:rRNA from 1 species